GCUACCACCUGUGGGAUUAUGACUGAAUGCCUCUAAGUCAGAAUCUCGCCCAGGCGGAAUGAUACGGCAGCACCACAGCGCCCCAGUUGGCCUCAGAUAGCUGGUCCCCC
rnacentral:rRNA from 1 species